rnacentral:lncRNA from 1 species
GGGGGGGGGACGGCAGCGCUGGGUUGGCUCCCUGCCCCCCUUCCCCCUCCCGGCCGGAGGAAGAUGGAGCUCGGUUAGCGAGGGCUCGCGGGAGGAGCGGCGGGAGCAGAUAAAACAGUGAAGUCUUUAACUGCUCCAGAAGAAGAGGAUCCGGAAGGAAAAUGUCUCUGGCAAAGAAGUAUCAGGCACAUGAUACUGCAGAGAUUCAAAAUCAGAAGUAAAUCAACUGGACAGUUGCCUCCUGCCUUCCUAAAUAGGCAAACAUAUUAGCAACAGAAGAAGGGGCCUACCUACCUCAUUCCUGGAGAAGGUGGGUUUGCUGCUGUGGAUGCCUGCCUCGUUUGCU